rnacentral:rRNA from 1 species
GAUGAACGCUGGCGGCGUGCCUAAUACAUGCAAGUCGAACGCAUAGCGAAAGGUGCUUGCACCUUUCAAGUGAGUGGCGAACGGGUGAGUAACACGUGGACAACCUGCCUCAAGGCUGGGGAUAACAUUUGGAAACAGAUGCUAAUACCGAAUAAAACUUAGUGUCGCAUGACACAAAGUUAAAAGGCGCUUCGGCGUCACCUAGAGAUGGAUCCGCGGUGCAUUAGUUAGUUGGUGGGGUAAAGGCCUACCAAGACAAUGAUGCAUAGCCGAGUUGAGAGACUGAUCGGCCACAUUGGGACUGAGACACGGCCCAAACUCCUACGGGAGGCUGCAGUAGGGAAUCUUCCACAAUGGGCGAAAGCCUGAUGGAACAACGCCGCGUGUGGGAUGAAGGCUUUCGGGUCGUAAAGCACUGUUGUAUGGGAAGAACAGCUAGAAUAGGAAAUGAUUUUAGUUUGACGGUACCAUACCAGAAAGGGACGGCUAAAUACGUG